CAUAAAAUAAAUUAGAAAUAAAUAAAAUUGGGAAGUUUUAGUGAUUAGCAUGGCCCCUGAGCAAAGAUAGCAUGCAAAUUUGUGAAGCGUUUCAUAUUUUA
ensembl:snRNA U6 U6 spliceosomal RNA